UUGAACGCUGGCGGCAUGCCUUACACAUGCAAGUCGAACGGCAGCACGGGUGCUUGCACCUGGUGGCGAGUGGCGAACGGGUGAGUAAUAUAUCGGAACAUACCCUAGAGUGGGGGAUAACGUAGCGAAAGUUACGCUAAUACCGCAUACGAACUAAGGUUGAAAGUGGGGGAUCGCAAGACCUCAUGCUCAUGGAGUGGCCGAUAUCUGAUUAGCUAGUUGGUGAGGUAAAGGCUCACCAAGGCGACGAUCAGUAGCUGGUUUGAGAGAACGACCAGCCACACUGGAACUGAGACACGGUCCAGACUCCUACGGGAGGCAGCAGUGGGGAAUUUUGGACAAUGGGGGCAACCCUGAUCCAGCAAUGCCGCGUGAGUGAAGAAGGCCCUCGGGUUGUAAAGCUCUUUUGUCAGGGAAGAAACGGUCUACUCUAAUACAGUGGGCUAAUGACGGUACC
rnacentral:rRNA from 1 species